rnacentral:rRNA from 1 species
AACGAACGCUGGCGGCAGGCCUAACACAUGCAAGUCGAGCGAGGACUUCGGUCCUAGCGGCGGACGGGUGAGUAACGCGUGGGAACGUGCCCUUUGCUUCGGAAUAGCCCUGGGAAACUGGGAGUAAUACCGGAUGAGCCCUUUGGGGGAAAGAUUUAUCGGCGAAGGAUCGGCCCGCGUUGGAUUAAGUAGUUGUUGGGGUAAUGGCCUACCAAGCCGACGAUCCAUAGCUGGUUUGAGAGGAUGAUCAGCCACACUGGGACUGAGACACGGCCCAGACUCCUACGGGAGGCAGCAGUGGGGAAUCUUAGACAAUGGGGGAAACCCUGAUCUAGCCAUGCCGCGUGAGCGAUGAAGGCCUUAGGGUUGUAAAGCUCUUUCAGCUGGGAAGAUAAUGACGGUACCAGCAGAAGAAGCCCCGGCUAACUCCGUG